AUCUGAUCUAAAGCUCUAAGUUGAGGCCUUUGCUUUAUACCUGAGCUCCUGGAUCAAGAUUAGCUUUCGGGGACCCUUAGUCCGCUAUAUUAAUAUAGCUACCUAUUAGGUGCCGUUUGAUAUUCUGUGAUCUCUGGCAUUGUGUAAUUAUUACACAAGGACUUCUAAGCAAUCUCAGCGUGCUAGCACAUUGAUUUACAUGACUUUCAUGCUAUGUAUGCCCAUUGUGAUAUGAUGCAUAGGACUUAUCAAGACAUACUUAGGCGGACCUGUGCUUUAGUGACUUAAAACGAGACAAGAAUUAGUUAAUUUAUGUUAUGUACUCUUUGGUUCUUGAUUAAAGCAAUGUAAACUUUCAUGUUUGAUUAAUAAAACGAAACUUCA
rnacentral:lncRNA from 1 species